rnacentral:rRNA from 1 species
AACGCGAAGAACCUUACCUACCCUUGACAUCCUGCGAACCCGGAAGAGAUUCCGGGGUGCCUUCGGGAGCGCAGAGACAGGUGCUGCAUGGCUGUCGUCAGCUCGUGUUGUGAAAUGUUGGGUUAAGUCCCGUAACGAGCGCAACCCUUGUCCCUAUUUGCCAGCGAUUCGGUCGGGAACUCUAGGGAGACUGCCGGUGACAAACCGGAGGAAGGUGGGGACGACGUCAAGUCAUCAUGGCCCUUACGGGUAGGGCUACACACGUGCUACAAUGGCCGGUACAAAGGGUUGCGAAGCCGCGAGGUGAAGCCAAUCCCAGAAAGCCGGCCUCAGUCCGGAUUGGAGUCUGCAACUCGACUCCAUGAAGUCGGAAUCGCUAGUAAUCGUGCAUCAGAAUGGCACGGUGAAUACGUUCCCGGGCCUUGUACACACCG